CAAGUAAAUCGCCUUAUCGAACCAAUUUAUUGGUUAGGAAAGUCCGAACACCGUAGUGCAGUAUAGUGGUUAAUGGCCACCAGUCGUGAGGCUAGGAAUAGUGCAACAGAAAGGAUGUACAGGUAAUGCUGUAGUGAAAUCAUGUAAACUCUAUACGGUGCAAUGUCAUGUAUACCAACGUUUGAGGGCGGCACGUUCGAUGUUGGAGGGUAGGCAGCUAAAGUGUGCUGGUAACAGUACACUCAGAUAAAUGAUAAGGGCUCCAUUCGGAGUACAGAAUUCGGCUUAUAGAUUUACUUGCUUA
rfam:Mangrovimonas sp. DI 80 WGS_KM_S5._contig_5, whole genome shotgun sequence.